rnacentral:tRNA from 1 species
GCCAGGUUAGCUCAGUUGGUUAAGAGCAUGGUGCUAAUAACACCAAGUUCACAGGUUCAAUCCCUGCUUACUGCA